GCGCGCCCCGGUUCCCUCACACCUUCCGCUCCCCUCAUGGAGGAGCCGCCAUGUUGGCUGUGUCUGAUUUUGCCUCGAAGGCGCAGCCGCAGCCCUGUGUGGCCCCCUAAAACUCUGUCAGAGUGUCCCCCUGGAGCUCAGACAGUCCAUGCAGUGCCCCAAGAACCCCGUGAGGAUGCAGCCAUGGAGCCCCAUCAUGCCUCAGCUUUAUAGUGAUGUGGACGCAAUGGUAGCCACUGGCCGGCUGAGAGACACCCAGCUACCUCCUGCAGACGGUACCAAGGUCGGACCAUCUGCGGAUUUUACAAGUUCCAUGGAAUGUUUUCAGACCGCACUCUUAACCUCAGACACUCCUAUCGGAUUUCAGAGGAUUCAGCCACUUUUUAGCCCCAGGGUGCUGUAGGUGCUAAAUAGAUUAUCUACAUCUCUCAGCCACUAUGGAACAACUACACAGCAAAGCUCAGUUUUUAAUCCUGCUGAGACUCCGACUGCUUUUGGCCAUCAGGUAUCCCCAGCUUCACAAGAAGAAAUGUUAAUCUGGAAUGCUGGCCAAACUCCAGUUUAGCAACAAUUCUUUAAGCUCUGAAAGAUUAGGACAGUGGUGACAAAUAAACCAUGAGAUUCUGGAUGGAUACAGACACGUGUAGCUUUCCCUCCUUCCCAGCUCACUGUCAACCAAAGGCUGUUACCAGUACUAGCACAGAUGCUUUGAAGUUUUCCAGAGAUACCCAAGGAAGAAGACACAUCCAAAUACCCAGACCAGCCCCAAACUCCACCCUGGAACAGAUGGCGGGGUUCUGAAGGCAGACACAUCUGGUAACCACUGGCAGGGAGCAGCAGAGCAAGUAAAAUGGGUGAAGUGAUGCUACAAUGGAGAUCAACAGGAGGUUCUGGCCACUAAACUUGCAUUUCAGCUUAUAUGGUUUAACCAAGGAAAAAAAGCACCUAGCUAAGCCUCCUCACUAAAAGCUCUGGCACAUCUAAUUUCCUUCCUUGUGGGGAAUAAACAAGAGCAGCAGCACAGCAGGUGAUGAAACAGAUUCUUCUCCAACUCUACAAGUAGAAAGUUGAUACCAAGAAGGUGACAAGGAAGAUAAAUGAACACCUUAGAGGAUGCUAAUCACACAUGAGAGUGGUGAUUUCCAGCAACUUCUGCCUCGUUUGGUGGUCUAGCAACCCUUGGUGAACAUUCACAGCCCCACGUGCCAGACCCAGCACAGAUUGCUGCUCCUGUUCUCUUCUUGCCCUGCCCUCACCACCAGAGCUGUGAUGGAUGUGGCUCCUCAGCCUCUUCUUCUCACAGAGAGGGGCUCUGACACCUUCUGUGCUUAAAAGAAGCCAGAAGCCCCAGCAGGAAUUACAGCCAGAAAAGGAGGUGAACUGUGAAAUGAAAGCUUCGAGAGAAAGAAUUGCUUGGGCUUGUGUUUCAAAUUUUCAGAGUUUUCUGAUUUUUGGUUGGAAGAAAUUUCAGAUUGGCAAACCAAGGCCAGAGCCAGGACUCAGUGGAAGUCUGGGACAGGACCACAGCACAUGAGCAGAGAGGCAGCCAGGAACAUCAGAUUUUUAACCAUUUUGAUACCAUCUGAAGGUGGAUCCCUUCCUAGGGCCACAUGCGAAGCCUCUGCUCUGAUACCUGGAGCAGGCACAGGCUCAUUCAGAGAUCAUCCACUGGCAGCCCCAGAGAAGGGCAGAUGCUCGAUGCUCGUUAACAUUUCCUGUUAAUUGAAUUAAUUCGUUUAACAAUUUCCUGUUAAUUUCCUCUCAUAAUAAUUGUUUUGGUAACUACUAGGAACAAAGCCAUCAUUUAACCACCAGGAAUGUGACUCAGUGACAGUCACAGCCACCAAAUCUAUUUUUUGGGAAAAUAAUAGUUUUUAAAGUGCCUUUGUUUUUAAAGAGUGGCCCACGCAAGCAGCUGAACUGGGCAAGUUCAGACUCAUCCCGAAGGAAAAAGCAUCCCUGGGCCACAUUCCAUCGAAAACUCUGAUUUUUCCAAAGGAAUACAGGGAUGUGACACACAGCCCAGAGUGCAGCUCCAUCUCCUUCUGCAACUGCACAUCCCAGAACCUCCUCCCUGGAAAACCCAGGGGAUGGCUGGGGAAGAAACCCAAAAAAUGGCACAUCUGGAAAGAGCCAUUUCUGGCUGGGAGCAGUCAGCAGAUGUGAGCAUCCCUCUGACAGCCACCAGUGCCCACCACUCCUCGAGCACCUGAGGGGCCACCAGGAGCUCUCCUGGUCCUGCAACGAGAACCACAAAACUUCUGCUUGACCAUUUCCAGGCAGCUGCUUCCAGGACCCACCACAGAUACAACAAAAACAAAUGCUGACACGGGACUGGAAACCCUUUCCUCGUUCCCAAGGGAGACAGAGAAACAGAAGAAAUGAAGGAAGCAGUUGUGAGCCUUCAGUUCCAGCUCACCCAACAGUCACAAAAUCCUUUUUGGGAUCCCCAGUGACCCAAUCACAGCUGCCACAAAAACUGACGUCGCUGAUAUGGGAGCAGAUGUUCCCUCACCUUCUUAUUUUUGCUGGAGAUGACAGAUUCAAGUUUCUGGGCACAAAACCAGUUGGAAAGAGCCCGUUCCCAGAGAUGUAUGUUCUGCUAAAAACACCAGAGCUGGAUGCCACUGUGACAUGAGGGAUGUAUGUGCCACCUCCUGUCUCCUCCUCCAGCCUGAAUCCCAUCCUGCCUUCCCUUAAACUCAGCAAAAAGGAGCCAAACCAAAGCAACUGUCUGCAUUUGGAUUGAUCUGCUACAAAAUGUCAAACUCUUCAACGGGAACUGCAACAUUUCCAUCCUCCCUCUCUCCAAAGCAGGAAGACUGGUACAAAGCAGCCAAAAAUGUAUCAGAAAAAAAAGAAAGCAGCCACAAAUGGACUGAAAAUGGAGGUUCCUCUUGGGCAACAAAGGGUCCUGCAGGGGAAAAGCCCACCUGAGUUUCCACAUUCCCUUGUGUCACCUCUGAAUUUGCUUCCCAUGCAACCAUUUAUAUGAAAAUGUGAGUGCACGUGUGGCACGCUGGGGAAAUAUUAUGACUAAUGGAUGGAACCUGUGCAAUGUGUCAAAAUCUUCCCUCUGCCCCCAUGCAACAGCAUUUCACAGGCUCUUGAGACAUCA